UAGGGAAUCUUCCGCAAUGGACGAAAGUCUGACGGAGCAACGCCGCGUGAGUGAAGAAGGAUUUCGGUUCGUAAAACUCUGUUGUUAGGGAAGAAAAAAUGUAUAGUAACUAUAUACAAAAGAGACGGUACCUAACCAGAAAGCCACGGCUAACUACGUGCCAGCAGCCGAGGUAAUACGUAGGUGGCAAGCGUUGUCCGGAAUUAUUGGGCGUAAAGCGAUGGAAGGUGGUUUAGAAAGUCUGAUGUGAAAGCCCACGGCUCAACCGUGGAGGGUCAUUGGAAACUAAUAAACUUGAGUGCAGGAGAGAAAAGUGGAAUUCCUAGUGUAGCGGUGAAAUGCGGAGAGAUUAGGAGGAACACCGGUGGCGAAAGCGGCUUUUUGGUCUGCAACUGACACUGAGGCGCGAAAGCGUGGGGAGCAAACAGG
rnacentral:rRNA from 1 species